rnacentral:rRNA from 1 species
UGCAUCAUUCGGAUAAGGCCUUGGGAUAANGAAAGUGGCGAACGGGUGAGUAACACGUGGGUAAUCUACCCUCCGGUGGGGAAUAACAUCCCGAAAGGGGUGCUAAUACCGCAUGAUGUCUCAGGAGCGCGAGUUCUUGGGAUGAAAGGUGGCCUCUGUUUCAUGCUGCCGCCGGAGGAGGGGCCCGCGGNCUAUUANCUUGUUGGUGGGGUAAUGGCUCACCAAGGCAACGAUAGGUAGGCGGUUUGAGAGGAUGAUCGCCCUCACUGGGACUGAGACAAGGCCCAGUCCCCUACGGGAGGCGCAGCCAAGAAUCUUGCGCAAUGGGCGAAAGCCUGACGCAUCGACGCCGCGUGGGUGAUGAAGGCUUGCGAGUCGUAAAGCCCUGUUGAGUGGGAUGAAAUGUGUUCCGGUUAAUACCCGGGACGCUUGACAGUACCAUUCCAGAAAGCCCCGGCUAAUUCCGUGCCAGCAGCCGCGGUAAUACGGAGGGGGCAAGCGUUGUUCGGAUUUACUGGGCUUAAAGGGNACGCANGNGGUCUACUAAGUCGGAUGUGAAAUCCCUCGGCU